AGGAAGUAAAAGUCGUAACAAGGUUUCCGUAGGUGAACCUGCGGAAGGAUCAUUACAGUAUUCUUUUUGCCAGCGCUUAAUUGCGCGGCGAAAAAACCUUACACACAGUGUUUUUUGUUAUUACAAGAACUUUUGCUUUGGUCUGGACUAGAAAUAGUUUGGGCCAGAGGUUUACUGAACUAAACUUCAAUAUUUAUAUUGAAUUGUUAUUUAUUUAAUUGUCAAUUUGUUGAUUAAAUUCAAAAAAUCUUCAAAACUUUCAACAACGGAUCUCUUGGUUCUCGCAUCGAUGAAGAACGCAGCGAAAUGCGAUAAGUAAUAUGAAUUGCAGAUUUUCGUGAAUCAUCGAAUCUUUGAACGCACAUUGCGCCCUCUGGUAUUCCAGAGGGCAUGCCUGUUUGAGCGUCAUUUCUCUCUCAAACCUUCGGGUUUGGUAUUGAGUGAUACUCUUAGUCGAACUAGGCGUUUGCUUGAAAUGUAUUGGCAUGAGUGGUACUGGAUAGUGCUAUAUGACUUUCAAUGUAUUAGGUUUAUCCAACUCGUUGAAUAGUUUAAUGGUAUAUUUCUCGGUAUUCUAGGCUCGGCCUUACAAUAUAACAAACAAGUUUGACCUCAAAUCAGGUAGGAUUACCCGCUGAACUUAAGCAUAUCAU
rnacentral:rRNA from 1 species